AGAUGUGGAGGCCAAGUCCUCGUCUUGCUCCUGUCAGAGGGGCUUGAUGGGUGAUGGGCACAAAGAAACAAGCAGGAAGAGAAUGGAGAAGAAUUGAAGCUUCUUACAGAGACAUUAAUUCUCAGGUAUGCAUAUCCCCCAGUGGAUUUCCCCUGAAAACAGACUUUCAAGUUGUCUCAAGUUGUCCAACACUACUCCAAUUUUCCCAUCGCAAGAAGACUUUUUACGGUGCGCAAAUAUCUGGGGGCUGAAGAAGGCCUGGAUCCUACUCAUCAGUUGAAUUUGUG
rnacentral:lncRNA from 1 species